rnacentral:tRNA from 1 species
AUUCCAUUAGUACAUAUAUAGUAUAUCUAACUUCCAAUUAGAAGAAUUUUUUAAAAAUGAAAUA